ensembl:lncRNA
CAUUGUUGUUCUUCCCCCCCUUUCAGACUUGCUGUGGUGAAUCAACGGCGUAUGAGGCCCCGUGAAGCUCACCCAUCCUAAGGCCGCCAGAAUCACUUCUUACGCUGCAGGCGUGGCAGCUUUCAAGGUCGGGUCUUCUGAACUCUGGGACGGUGCUCAAACCCGCGAGCCGGAGAGACAGUCAUCCUGUUGUUGUGUCCUUCGGCAAUACAAAGACAAGAUCCAAACGACGAUAUUUGAGUGCACACAGACAAAAAAAGGGCCCUUUUCCUGGGAACGUUCCUCCCGGCAGUGUUUCUCCAAGCAGCCGCAGGAGUAGGACAACGUUUGCACUGACGGGCAAACGUCAAAUUGUCACUCGGUACGUCUAUCACCAAAAUGCAUGAAAACUAAGAGGAAGACAAGGCCUCCCAGCGAUCCCAAACAUCCGCUCGAGUCCAGUAAAUUCCUCCAAUCUGUGAUUCAUCUCCGUGUUGACGGACGAGACGUGCGAGAGAGACAAAGACACCUGUGAAGGGAGGAGCUGUAGAGAUUCAAGGAGGCAACGGCAGCGGCAGGAGGAGGCUGAUGGAGAAGGCCACCUGAACAAACCCAGCGUGAAAGCAGCCAGCCAGUUCCAGCCAGAUUUAUGGCUCUCCACGCCUCUUUUCCCACAAAGAGGCCCCUCUCUGGAGCUUCUGGAUGUAUCGGACCUCGUCUAUUCCUUUUUGUCACUUCUGUCUAGCUCCACUUCCUUCCCUUUACUGUCCCAUUUGUCUUUUUUUAUGUCCAUCUAUCUUUUCUCUUUUUUUUUUAGUCUUGGUAUCUCUUUCUCCCCCUCCUUUUCUCCCAGACAUCCUGGCCAGCUGUUCGUCCAGACAUGGUGUCUACAGCUGUCUGUGCAAAGCUCGGUUGCACCUCCAGACGCAGGCCGCAAGCCUGCAGCUUGGAGCUCUUCCCCGACACCUCUGUCUCCUCUCUUUGCUGCAUCCAUGACCUCAACAUGACCUUGACAGCACAACUAUAUGUUUGCAAGACUACCUGUACUAUACUCUUGAAGAGGUAGUGCCGUAGAAAGUGUACUGAACAAAAAUAGUGCAAUGCAUGGUUUUAGACAGAAGCAC